AGCCAAACUCUAGCCCAACCACCAAUUAUCCUACCACUAAACUACUAUGAUAAUUAAAUAAAACAUUCUCAAAACCUAGUAUAGGCGAUAGAAAAGUAACCAUGGCGCUAUAGAGAGCACGUACCGUAAGGGAAAGAUGAAAUAACAAUGAAACCUAAGCCAAAAACAGCAAAGAUUAACCCUUGUACCUCUUGCAUCAUGAUUUAGCAAGAACAACCAAGCAAAAUGACACUUUAAGUUUGCCACCCCGAAACUUAAGCGAGCUACCCUCAAGCAGCUAUUCAUUGAGCUAACCCAUCUCUGUUGCAAAAGAGUGGGAAGACUUGUUGGUAGAGGUGAAAAGCCAAUCGAGCUAAGUGAUAGCUGGUUGUCCGUGAAAUGAACCUAAGUUCCCCCUUAAUCUUUCUAUAAGGCCAUUAACCAUGAACCUACAACGAAACGAUAAAAGGUAAUUUAAAGGAGGUACAGCUCCUUUAAAAAAGAACACACUCUUCACCAGCGGAUAAGCCUCCCAAAAAAAGAACUGUAGGCCCUUAAGCAGCCACCAAUUAAGAAUGCGUCAAAGCUCCCACAAAAAAAUAUGAAAACUACGCGAUUCCCCCAUCCAUAACGGACUAACCUAUUCACAUAGGAGAAUUAAUGCUAGAAUGAGUAACUUGGGCUACCUCCCUCUAAAGCGCAAGCUUACAUCUACCAAUUAUUAACAAACGACAAGAUGUACACUAAUUUCAACAAGACCACCACAUCAUAAAAUUUGUUAACCCGACUUAUGGAGCGCCAACAAGACGAUUAAAACCUAUAGAAGGAACUAGGCAAACCCAAGGCCCGACUGUUUACCAAAAACAUAGCCUUUAGCACAACAAGUAUUAAAGGUGAUGCCUGCCCAGUGACAUUAUGUUUAACGGCCGCGGUAUCCUAACCGUGCGAAGGUAGCGCAAUCAAUUGUCCCAUAAAUCGGGACCUGUAUGAAUGGCUAAACGAGGUCUUAACUGUCUCCUAUAGGUAAUCAGUGAAAUUGAUCUUCCCGUGCAAAAGCAGGAAUAAUUACAUAAGACGAGAAGACCCUGUGGAACUUUAAAAUCAACAGUCAUUCCCACACAAUCUCUCCUCCACAUGGACUUACAAUUCACCAGGAAUCAUUGACUGACAUUUUUUGGUUGGGGCGACCUUGGAGUAAAACAGACCCUCCAAAAAUAAGACCAUAACUCUUUACCAAGAACAACCAAUCAACGUGCUAACAGCAACCAGACCCAAUAGAAUUGAUUAAUGGACCAAGCUACCCCAGGGAUAACAGCGCAAUCUCCUCCAAGAGCCCCCAUCGACGAGGAGGUUUACGACCUCGAUGUUGGAUCAGGACAUCCUAGUGGUGCAGCCGCUACUAAGGGUUCGUUUGUUCAACGAUUAACAGUCCUACGUGAUCUGAGUUCAGACCGGAGUAAUCCAGGUCGGUUUCUAUCUAUGAUAAACUCUUCCUAGUACGAAAGGACCGAAAGAGUAGGACCAAUACCAAAGACAUGUCCUCGCCCUAAACAGUGAAACCAACUCAACUGCCAAGGGCCCUCCCAACACUACCACAUCCUAGAAAAGGACUG
rnacentral:rRNA from 1 species